GGGUGUCAUACAAUAAACUAGUCUUACAUGCACGCAAUGCGUGCGAUAGCAUGUGAAGUAGAAAAUAAAAUUAAUUGGGUAGAAAAACCGUUUUUUUUUACGGAGUAGAAAAACCGUCUUUACAUUUUGUUUUUUCAAAAAAUUGAUGUUUACUUUAAAUGUCCUACUUUCCUCCUUUUUUAUUCAAAUGAGAGAGUUAGUUAUGUCUCUAUUUUUUUUUUUUUUCUAUUUUUUGGUGUCCCCCAUGUGUUGCCUUAUAUAAUAGAGAUUCGUCGAAUUGAAAAUAAAUUAUAAGAAAAAAGAAAGCCAGGCGUAUGGGGUAUAUAUGAGAAACUAUUUCUCAAUUGAGGUAGAGAGCUUUGUGGCAGCGCACCUCUCAAAUCAUGACGGCGAAGUUCCGCCAUUAAUGAAAACUUUUGCUCAACAAUAUAACUGUUACCAAGUUUGGCCAGCACCAAGAGCAAAGACGACAACGACAACUCCUUCAAAUUCGACGGCGUCGUCUUGGCAAGGACCCUCACUGGUCUCUACGACGGCGUUUCGACGGUGGAAAUGAAUCAGCCAUUAUUGCGAUAUUCAGAAUUUUGAAGUGAAAUUGUUCUGAACAUGUUUCUAAGAUAUACUUCAGAAUUUUGCAUUUAAUUAGAGGUAUAUGCAAUUGCAGAAUAUUAGCAAUGAAAAAGGUAAUGAACAAUUCGAGAAGGUACUGAUGGGUCUUCUACGAAGAAUAUUGGACACAAACAAACGUGUCCAGGAAGUUGCUUGUUCGGCUUUUACGACACUUGAAGAGGAAGCUGUUGAAGAGUUGACACCACGAUUAGAAACUAUAUUGCAACACUAGCACAGUGCACCACCACAGAAACAACUGCCAUCCACCAGUGGUGAUUUUACGCCCUCUAACCUAUUCUCCGAUUUUCAAAAUCAAAUUUCAGCACAAAAUUCCUGCCAUGCUUAAAAAUAGUGCAAGUAUCUCUCAAACACCAGUAGCAAGUCUAGUGAAGAUACGUCAUCCAAGCUCGAAAACGGAACAUGUAGAGCAGGAUUUGCAAGAAAUUCAAAAUGAGGCCGCUAGGAAAAUGCAUGCAUAUGGCGAGAUGAUGGAAGAUGGAGAAGAGAUAUACGACUAUUAGAUCUAGUUUUAGAUUAUCAUGACUAUGUUGCUUGUUGGAUGAUUUAGAUUUUGUAUUGAGCAUAAUAUUAUUUUUCAUUAGUUUAUCUAUGAAAAUAACACGAAUAAGUGUAUAAAAUUAUAUCAUUAUUAUAAUAUAAUUGCCAAUUUAUAUAUCAA